AGAGUUUGAUCCUGGCUCAGGAUGAACGCUGGCGGCGUGCUUAACACAUGCAAGUCGAACGAACCUUCGGGUUAGUGGCGGACGGGUGAGUAACGCGUGGGAAUCUGCCCUCAGGAGGGGGAUAACGGCUGGAAACGGCCGCUAAUACCCCAUAUGCCGAGAGGUGAAAUGAAUUUCGCCUGAGGAUGAGCCCGCGUCUGAUUAGCUAGUUGGUGAGGUAAGAGCUCACCAAGGCAUCGAUCAGUAGCUGGUCUGAGAGGAUGAUCAGCCACACUGGGACUGAGACACGGCCCAGACUCCUACGGGAGGCAGCAGUGGGGAAUUUUCCGCAAUGGGCGAAAGCCUGACGGAGCAACGCCGCGUGAGGGAUGAAGGCCUCUGGGCUGUAAACCUCUUUUCUCAAGGAAGAAGAUCUGACGGUACUUGAGGAAUAAGCCACGGCUAAUUCCGUGCCAGCAGCCGCGGUAAUACGGGAGUGGCAAGCGUUAUCCGGAAUUAUUGGGCGUAAAGCGUCCGCAGGCGGCCCUUCAAGUCUGCUGUUAAAAAGUGGAGCUUAACUCCAUCAUGGCAGUGGAAACUGUUGGGCUUGAGUGUGGUAGGGGCAGAGGGAAUUCCC
rnacentral:rRNA from 1 species